rnacentral:rRNA from 1 species
GCCGGUAAGGUGAUAUGAACCGUUAUAACCGGCGAUUUCCGAAUGGGGAAACCCAGUGUGACUCGUCACACUAUCAUUAACUGAAUCCAUAGGUUAAUGAGGCGAACCGGGGGAACUGAAACAUCUAAGUACCCCGAGGAAAAGAAAUCAACCGAGAUUCCCCCAGUAGCGGCGAGCGAACGGGGAGGAGCCCAGAGCCUGAAUCAGCAUGUGUGUUAGUGGAAGCGUCUGGAAAGGCGCGCGAUACAGGGUGACAGCCCCGUACACAAAAGCGCAUGUGCUGUGAGCUCGAUGAGUAGGGCGGGACACGUGGUAUCCUGUCUGAAUAUGGGGGGACCAUCCUCCAAGGCUAAAUACUCCUGACUGACCGAUAGUGAACCAGUACCGUGAGGGAAAGGCGAAAAGAACCCCGGCGAGGGGAGUGAAAAAGAACCUGAAACCGU